rnacentral:rRNA from 1 species
CGAACGGGUGAGUAACACGUGGGUGACCUGCCCUUAGCUCUGGGAUAAGCCUUGGAAACUGGGUCUAAUACCGGAUAUGACUCCAUGACGCAUGUUGUGGGGUGGAAAGCCUUGUGCGGCUAGGGAUGGGCCCGCGGCCUAUCAGCUUGUUGGUGGGGUGAUGGCCUACCAAGGCGACGACGGGUAGCCGGCCUGAGAGGGCGACCGGCCACACUGGGACUGAGACACGGCCCAG